rnacentral:rRNA from 1 species
UUCUAUGUAACCUAGCGGCGGACGGGUGAGUAACACGUAGGCUGCUGCCCACAAGACAGGGAUAACUACCGGAAACGGUAGCUAAUACCCGAUACAUCCUUUUCCUGCAUGGGCGAAGGAGGAAAGACGGAGCAAUCUGUCACUUGUGGAUGGGCCUGCGGCGCAUUAGCUAGUUGGUGGGGUAAAGGCCUACCAAGGCGACGAUGCGUAGCCGACCUGAGAGGGUGAUCGGCCACACUGGGACUGAGACACGGCCCAGACUCCUACGGGAGGCAGCAGUAGGGAAUCUUCCGCAAUGGGCGAAAGCCUGACGGAGCAACGCCGCGUGAGUGAUGAAGGUUUUCGGAUCGUAAAGCUCUGUUGCCAGGGAAGAACGUCUUGUAGAGUAACUGCUACAAGAGUGACGGUACCUGAGAAGAAAGCCCCGGCUAACUACGUGCCAGCAGCCGCGGUAAUACGUAGGGGGCAAGCGUUGUCCGGAAUUAUUGGGCGUAAAGCGCGCGCAGGCGGCUCUUUAAGUCUGGUGUUUAAUCCCCGAGGCUCAACUUCGGCCUCGCACUGAAAACUGGGGGAGCUUGACUGCAGAACAGGAGAGUGCAAUUCCCCGUGUAGCGAUGAAAUGCGUAUAGAUGUGGAGGA